GACGAACGCUGGCGGCGUGCUUAACACAUGCAAGUCGAACGGAGUGGCGAACGGGUGAGUAACACGUGGGUGAUCUGCGUUGCACUUCGGGAUAAGCUUGGGGAACUGGGUCUAAUACCGGAUAGGGGAAGAUGAGCUCGCGGCCUUUCAGCUUGUUGGUGGGGUAAUGGCCUACCAAGGCGUCGACGGGUAGCCGGCCUGAGCGGGUAUACGGCCACAUUGGGACUGGGAUACGGCCCGGACUCCUACGGGAGGCAGCAGUGGGGAAUAUUGCAGAAUGGGCGGAAGCCUGAUGCAGCGACGCCGCGUGGGGGAUGAAGGCCUUCGGGUUGUAAACUCCUUUCGACAGGGACGCGGUACCGGUAUAAGAAGCACCGGCUAACUACGUGCCAGCAGCCGCGGUAAUUC
rnacentral:rRNA from 1 species